GGUUAAGCGACUAAGCGUACACGGUGGAUGCCCUGGCAGUCAGAGGCGAUGAAGGACGUGCUAAUCUGCGAAAAGCGUCGGUAAGGUGAUAUGAACCGUUACAGCCGGCGAUGUCCGAAUGGGGAAACCCAGUGCAAUUCGUUGCACUAUCGUUAACUGAAUACAUAGGUUAACGAGGCGAACCGGGGGAACUGAAACAUCUAAGUACCCCGAGGAAAAGAAAUCAACCGAGAUUCCCCCAGUAGCGGCGAGCGAACGGGGAGCAGCCCAGAGUCUGAAUCAGCUUGUGUGUUAGUGGAACGGUCUGGAAAGUCCGACGGUACAGGGUGAUAGUCCCGUACACCAAAAUGCACAGGCUGUGAACUCGAAGAGUAGGGCGGGACACGUGGUAUCCUGUCUGAAUAUGGGGGGACCAUCCUCCAAGGCUAAAUACUCCUGACUGACCGAUAGUGAACCAGUACCGUGAGGGAAAGGCGAAAAGAACCCCGGCGAGGGGAGUGAAAAAGAACCUGAAACCGUGUACGUACAAGCAGUGGGAGCACCUUCGGGUGUGACUGCGUACCUUUUGUAUAAUGGGUCAGCGACUUAUAUUCUGUAGCAAGGUUAACCGUAUAGGGGAGCCGCAGGGAAACCGAGUCUUAACUGGGCGUUAAGUUGCAGGGUAUAGACCCGAAACCCGGUGAUCUAGCCAUGGGCAGGUUGAAGGUUGGGUAACACUAACUGGAGGACCGAACCGACUAAUGUUGAAAAAUUAGCGGAUGACUUGUGGCUGGGGGUGAAAGGCCAAUCAAACCGGGAGAUAGCUGGUUCUCCCCGAAAGCUAUUUAGGUAGCGCCUCGUGAAUUCAUCUUCGGGGGUAGAGCACUGUUUCGGCUAGGGGGUCAUCCCGACUUACCAACCCGAUGCAAACUACGAAUACCGAAGAAUGUUAUCACGGGAGACACACGGCGGGUGCUAACGUCCGUCGUGAAGAGGGAAACAACCCAGACCGCCAGCUAAGGUCCCAAAGUCACAGUUAAGUGGGAAACGAUGUGGGAAGGCACAGACAGCCAGGAUGUUGGCUUAGAAGCAGCCAUCAUUUAAAGAAAGCGUAAUAGCUCACUGGUCGAGUCGGCCUGCGCGGAAGAUGUAACGGGGCUAAACUGUGCACCGAAGCUGCGGCAGCGACACUAUGUGUUGUUGGGUAGGGGAGCGUUCUGUAAGCCUGCGAAGGUGGCCUGUGAGGGUUGCUGGAGGUAUCAGAAGUGCGAAUGCUGACAUAAGUAACGAUAAUGCGGGUGAAAAGCCCGCACGCCGGAAGACCAAGGGUUCCUGUCCAACGUUAAUCGGGGCAGGGUGAGUCGACCCCUAAGGCGAGGCCGAAAGGCGUAGUCGAUGGGAAACAGGUUAAUAUUCCUGUACUUGGUGUUACUGCGAAGGGGGGACGGAGAAGGCUAUGUUAGCCGGGCGACGGUUGUCCCGGUUUAAGCAUGUAGGCGGAGGUUCCAGGUAAAUCCGGUACCUUUUUAACGCUGAGGUGUGAUGACGAGGCACUACGGUGCUGAAGUAACAAAUGCCCUGCUUCCAGGAAAAGCCUCUAAGCAUCAGGUAACAUUAAAUCGUACCCCAAACCGACACAGGUGGUCAGGUAGAGAAUACCAAGGCGCUUGAGAGAACUCGGGUGAAGGAACUAGGCAAAAUGGUGCCGUAACUUCGGGAGAAGGCACGCUGAUAUGUAGGUGAAGCCCCUGCGGGUGGAGCUGAAAUCAGUCGAAGAUACCAGCUGGCUGCAACUGUUUAUUAAAAACACAGCACUGUGCAAACACGAAAGUGGACGUAUACGGUGUGACGCCUGCCCGGUGCCGGAAGGUUAAUUGAUGGGGUUAUCCGUAAGGAGAAGCUCUUGAUCGAAGCCCCGGUAAACGGCGGCCGUAACUAUAACGGUCCUAAGGUAGCGAAAUUCCUUGUCGGGUAAGUUCCGACCUGCACGAAUGGCGUAAUGAUGGCCAGGCUGUCUCCACCCGAGACUCAGUGAAAUUGAACUCGCUGUGAAGAUGCAGUGUACCCGCGGCAAGACGGAAAGACCCCGUGAACCUUUACUAUAGCUUGACACUGAACAUUGAGCCUUGAUGUGUAGGAUAGGUGGGAGGCUUUGAAGCGUGGACGCCAGUCUGCGUGGAGCCAACCUUGAAAUACCACCCUUUAAUGUUUGAUGUUCUAACGUUGGCCCCUUAUCGGGGUUGCGGACAGUGUCUGGUGGGUAGUUUGACUGGGGCGGUCUCCUCCCAAAGAGUAACGGAGGAGCACGAAGGUUAGCUAAUCCUGGUCGGACAUCAGGAGGUUAGUGCAAUGGCAUAAGCUAGCUUGACUGCGAGCGUGACGGCGCGAGCAGGUGCGAAAGCAGGUCAUAGUGAUCCGGUGGUUCUGAAUGGAAGGGCCAUCGCUCAACGGAUAAAAGGUACUCCGGGGAUAACAGGCUGAUACCGCCCAAGAGUUCAUAUCGACGGCGGUGUUUGGCACCUCGAUGUCGGCUCAUCACAUCCUGGGGCUGAAGUAGGUCCCAAGGGUAUGGCUGUUCGCCAUUUAAAGUGGUACGCGAGCUGGGUUUAGAACGUCGUGAGACAGUUCGGUCCCUAUCUGCCGUGGGCGCUGGAGAAUUGAGGGGGGCUGCUCCUAGUACGAGAGGACCGGAGUGGACGCAUCACUGGUGUUCGGGUUGUCAUGCCAAUGGCAUUGCCCGGUAGCUAAAUGCGGAAGAGAUAAGUGCUGAAAGCAUCUAAGCACGAAACUUGCCCCGAGAUGAGUUCUCCCUGAGACUUUAAGUCUCCUGAAGGAACGUUAAAGACGAUGACGUUGAUAGGUCGGGUGUGUAAGCGUAGCGAUACGUUGAGCUAACCGAUACUAAUGAACCGUGAGGCUUAACCUU
rnacentral:rRNA from 1 species